AACUAUUAAUGUAGGAAGUGUACGACUGGGUUUUCAUGCUCACAUGUGAAAUGUACUUCCCUCAAACCCAGUUAUGCUAUCAGCGCAUUACCUAUCUGAUG
ensembl:snoRNA